rnacentral:lncRNA from 1 species
GAACACUCAAGUUCCUUGUGAGUAGCUUACAAAGUCAUAUGUUCACUACUGAGCUUCUCAAGUUGAGCUACGAGCACUUCAUUGGGUUUUUCUAAGGAUGCUACACAAGGUAGAGAUUUAGUAGCACAUGCAUAAUCUUUUGCCAAUGAAAAAUCAUGAUUGGAUUUGAGGAGCUCAAGUUCUUUAACCAAAGAACAUGACACCUCAAUCUUUUGGCUUUUCCCUUUCUUG